UUCCGCUCGGGAAGUUUGUAAAGGUCUGGGCUACCGGCGCGGCGUAGUGGAUGCAGCAUCCUAGUUGAGGACGCCCCGCUGAUCUGCCCUCCUUGGCACUGUGCUUCCCCAGAGGGGUGGCCUCGCUGUUCCCAUGGACAUGGCCCAGGUGAGCCCUGCUGCUGCCGAGCGCAGCCUCCCUUCUGCCCUGCUGGCUGCCUGAGACCCCAGCACACACGCGGGGAGGGUCUGUGGCAGUGGCUUCCCAGGCACUGUGCCCGUGUCUGCCUUUCUGCCUUCUCUCUUAAGGGGCGGGGAAAGAAAAAGAAAAUUGGGGCCAGGCGCAAUGCCUCACGCCUGUAAUCCUAGCACUUUGGGAGGCUGAGGCAGGUGGAUCUCGAGGUCAGGAGAUCAAGACCAUCCUGGCUAACACGGUGAAACCCCAUCUCUACUAAAAAUACAAAA
rnacentral:sRNA from 1 species